rnacentral:rRNA from 1 species
GACAGAGGUGCCGAGCGUUAGGCGGAAUCACUGGGCUUAAAAGCGUGUGUAGGCGGAUCGUUAAGUGCCUUGUGAAAUCCCACGGCUCAACCGUGGAACUGCUUGGCAUACUGGCGAUCUUGAGCCACUUAGGGGCUACCGGAACAAAUGGUGGAGCGGUGAAAUGCGUAGAUAUCAUUUGGAACGCCAAUGGUGAAAACAGGUAGCUGGGAGUGUGCUGACGCUGAGACACGAAAGCCAGGGGAGCAAACGGG